CUGAAAUGAGGAAAAGAAAAGGCACAUGAAUAUUGUCAAAGCUGAGAAGGUUUCUCUAGCAGUUGGAUGAGUGACAGUGGGACAGAGCCAGAAAUGAUGCUGAAAUGAUGUGAAAGCUUUUCAUACAUGGAUGAAGAGAAAUGGACUAGGAAAUAAGUCUUUGUUCUUAAGUAUUGAAGUCACUAAGUGGAAGAGCCUCCAGCCUGUGAAGAAGUCUGGGAUGGAGAAGGUCGCUGCAGGUGCUCUGAGCAGCUCUUGCCAGUGCAUGGGGCAGCUUGCCAGCACCAUCAAGCUUGAACCCAGCCCAGGAGCACCUUCUGGCUGUGAGCCCUGCCAGGCACCUGUGGGGUGGGGAUGGGAGCUGAGGGGUGUCUCCCAGAGCACACCUGCACAGAGCUGCCAGCAGCGGCAGCCUGGAGGAAAAUGCCACUCAGAAUGUUGGAGAAGUGCCCUUGCCUCAUGAAGCAGCUUUCAUCUGGAGGGAUUUACAAAGCAUGUGGUGCAAGGCCUGCAUCCCAGCUGCUGCCAGUGCUCCCUUCCCUCCCUGUGCUCCUAGUGCAGCCUUCUAGAGCUUUAUGGCACUAUUGCUAAGGCUUGAGCCAGCCAGGUCAUUGUUUCCCUGCUCCUCAGUCCCCCUCAGCCUGGAACUUCUGUCCUCAGCCCUCCAGAUUCUUCCCUGGCUCUCUUCUACUGCUGUCACACAUGGAAGAACAACAAAUUUAUUCCUGAAAUGCAACUGGGGAAAAUUCUCCUAAUAAGUCAAGGUAAAUACAUUCUUUCCCACAUAAACAUUUUGUCCUGUGCUUUACGUUUUACACUAGAUAAUGGCAUUUCUGAGAGACUGCAGGGUCCCACAGGGGAGCAGAUGUAGCCACUGGGCACUUUGUAGCCCACAAAUGGUGGCAAAAAGCAGAGAUGUGGUGACCUCGAGAGGACUGCAGCUAUUGGCACAGCCUGGACACUAAUAAGGCUGGACCUUGUAAAUUGUGUCAUCCCAAAAUACUGUGUGCUGAGACAUCACCAAAGUCUCUGCCUCUGUGAUAUACCUUGACUGCAAACCAGUUAAUCUGUCUGCUAACACCAGGGAAGAGUUUUUAAUUCUUUCUCUCAGCAGCAUAUAGGAUAUUUUUGAUGCUAUUCUAAUAUAAGGCUUAAGUUAGAGCUCACACUAUGUUAUCAUAACAUGUUAGACCCAGGCUGUUUUCUGUAUUUCUUUACCAGUUUAGGUGAAGGAAACUUAGUUUGUUAGGGAACUGAUGCUUUUGUUUCUGUAUAUUUAUUCCCACUACCAGUUCUAGGACAAAAUGCUGAAAUUCUUAUGAUUUUAUCUGUGGAGCAAAAGCCCCAGAUUUCAUAGAAGUAUCUGGGGAGUGAUUGUUAUCCUACCUAAGAAAGGAAGAGAAUGGAAUAUCAAAAUUUGCUCUCAGGUCUAGUUUAUUUAAGAACAAGAUGGGGGUUUAUGGUCUGUUUAUGUGGCCACAGCUUUCCUGAGGCAAUAUUUAAGUGCAGUGAGUAACAGAGGUAAUUACAGAGUUAAUUCAUACACGAUUUAAAAACAGCUAAUGAUACUUCCAUAAAAUAAAGAAUUCUUCAUUUUUUUAAUGCAGUGAAAAUUGUUAAAUGUCAUGCAGAAUUCAUAUUAAUAAACUUUCCUUGGGAAUAAAAUUACAAGAUUUACCACCUGAUCCACAUUCAGUCAAGCUUUCCCUGUUUGCAUCCCUCUCUGUAUCAGCAGGCUCUUUCCUUUCCUGCUUCCAUCAGUGUAUUUUCUGAACACACUUUAUGUCUUUCUUAUGCUUGUGAGCCUCUGCAGCCCCCUGGACCAACACAGAAAUCUCAAUUGUUCCUCUGUGUCUGCUUCUCCAUGUGGGUCCUCUGGGGAUUCAGUGCAACCUUCUGACUUGGGAUAAACACACAUGAAAGGCUUUGCACAAGGCUCAAACAUGCUCUCAAAUGUGUUAUAGAAUCACUAAUGAUAAAGAAAUAAAUGCAUUCAAGUUGAAACAUGUA